UACGGAGGGUGCGAGCGUUGUCCGGAAUCAUUGGGCGUAAAGGGCGCGUAGGUGGCCCGGUCAGUUCGUGGUGAAAGCGCGGGGCUCAACCCUGCGUCGGCCAUGAAUACUGCCGCGGCUGGAGCACUGUAGAGGCAGCGGGAAUUCCGGGUGUAGCGGUGGAAUGCGUAGAGGAUCAGGAGGAACACCGGUGGCGGAAGGCGGUCGUGCUGGGGUAAUGCUGACACUGAU
rnacentral:rRNA from 1 species